rnacentral:rRNA from 1 species
AGCGUAGACGGCAAGGCAAGUCUGAUGUGAAAACCCAGGGCUUAACCCCUGGGACUGCAUUGGAAACUGUCUGGCUCGAGUGCCGGAGAGGUAAGCGGAAUUCCUAGUGUAGCGGUGAAAUGCGUAGAUAUUAGGAAGAACACCAGUGGCGAAGGCGGCUUACUGGACGGUAACUGACGUUGAGGCUCGAAAGCGUGGGGAGGCAAAACA